UACGAAGGGGGCUAGCGUUGCUCGGAAUCACUGGGCGUAAAGGGUGCGUAGGCGGGUUUUUAAGUCAGAGGUGAAAUCCUGGAGCUCAACUCCAGAACUGCCUUUGAUACUGAAAGUCUUGAGUAUGGGAGAGGUGAGUGGAACUGCGAGUGUAGAGGUGAAAUUCGUAGAUAUUCGCAAGAACACCAGUGGCGAAGGCGGCUCACUGGCCCAUAACUGACGCUGAGGUGCGAAAGCGUGGGGAGCGAACAGG
rnacentral:rRNA from 1 species